rnacentral:rRNA from 1 species
AGCGCAGGCGGAAUGAUAAGUCUGAUGUGAAAGCCCACGGCUCAACCGUGGAACUGCAUCGGAAACUGUCAUUCUUGAGUGCAGAAGAGGAGAGUGGAACUCCAUGUGUAGCGGUGGAAUGCGUAGAUAUAUGGAAGAACACCAGUGGCGAAGGCGGCUCUCUGGUCUGCAACUGACGCUGAGGCUCGAAAGCGUGGGGAGCAAACA